UAUACAUGCAGUCGUACGCACUGGCCCAACUGAUUGAUGGUGCUUGCACCUGAUUGACGAUGGAUUACCAGUGAGUGGCGGACGGGUGAGUAACACGUAGGUAACCUGCCCCGGAGCGGGGGAUAACAUUUGGAAACAGAUGCUAAUACCGCAUAACAACAAAAGCCACAUGGCUUUUGUUUGAAAGAUGGCUUUGGCUAUCACUCUGGGAUGGACCUGCGGUGCAUUAGCUAGUUGGUAAGGUAACGGCUUACCAAGGCGAUGAUGCAUAGCCGAGUUGAGAGACUGAUCGGCCACAAUGGAACUGAGACACGGUCCAUACUCCUACGGGAGGCAGCAGUAGGGAAUCUUCCACAAUGGGCGCAAGCCUGAUGGAGCAACACCGCGUGAGUGAAGAAGGGUUUCGGCUCGUAAAGCUCUGUUGUUGGAGAAGAACGUGCGUGAGAGUAACUGUUCACGCAGUGACGGUAUCCAACCAGAAAGUCACGGCUAACUACGUGCCAGCAGCCGCGGUAAUACGUAGGUGGCAAGCGUUAUCCGGAUUUAUUGGGCGUAAAGCGAGCGCAGGCGGUUGCUUAGGUCUGAUGUGAAAGCCUUCGGCUUAACCGAAGAAGUGCAUCGGAAACCGGGCGACUUGAGUGCAGAAGAGGACAGUGGAACUCCAUGUGUAGCGGUGGAAUGCGUAGAUAUAU
rnacentral:rRNA from 1 species